rnacentral:rRNA from 1 species
UACAGAGGAGCCAAGCGUUGUCCGGAUUGACUGGGCGUAAAGCGCACGCAGGCGGAUGCGCGCGUGGGGUGUGAAAUCUGGCCGCUUAACGGCCAGGCGCCAUCCCAUACGGCGCGUCUGGAGUGAUGCAGAGGUCGAUGGAAUUGCCGGUGUAGUGGUGAAAUGCGUAGAGAUCGGGAGGAACACCAGAGGCGAAGGCGGCGACCUGGACAAGUACUGACACUCAACUACGAAAGCGUGGGGAGCAAACAGG